CCUACGGGGGGCAGCAGUGAGGAAUAUUGGUCAAUGGGCGCGAGCCUGAACCAGCCAAGUCGCGUGAGGGAAGACGGUCCUAUGGAUUGUAAACCUCUUUUGUCGGGGAGCAACAGACGCCACGCGUGGCGUUCCGAGAGUACCCGAAGAAAAAGCAUCGGCUAACUCUGUGCCAGCAGCCGCGGUAAUACGGGGGAUGCGAUCGUUAUCCGGAUUGAUUGGGUUAAAAGGGUGUGCAGGCGGAAGAUCAAGUCAGCGGUAAAAUUGAGGGGCUCAACCUCUUCGAGCCGUUGAAACUGGUUUUCUUGAGUGAGCGAGAAGAAUGCGGAAUGCGUGGUGUAGCGGUGAAAUGCAUAGAUAUCACGCAGAACUCCGAUUGCGAAGGCAGCAUACCGGCGAUCAACUGACGCUCAUGCACGAAAGUGUGGGUAUCGAACAGGAUUAGAUACCCUUGUAGUC
rnacentral:rRNA from 1 species